AAACAUAUUGAGUUGGAUAUUCAUUUCGUUCGCGAAAAGGUGGCUCGUGGCCAAAUCCGAGUUCUGCACGUACCAUCACGAUAUCAAAUUGCAGAUAUUUUCACAACUGGUCUUCCCUUGAUAUUGUUCCAAGAUUUCCGUGACAGCCUAAACAUUAUCAAUUAUGUUUAUUGUAUAUUCAUUAGACAUUAUUAUUUGACUUGUCAAAUAUGUAAUUAUAUUGAAUAGGCAUUAUUGAAUAUUCAUUAGGCAUUAUUAGUUUCUAUAUUAGAAUCAGAAACAAUUGUAUAUGUAUAAUUCUCAUCAUCAAUUAUAAUCAGGGAAUUACAUUCUUACAGGGUUUUCUGCGAUGAUUAUCCCUCAAUUCUCAUCUUAGGGUUUGUGGUUUCAGUUAAUAUUUUCUCCAUUCAUAUUGCGUUCAUGGUGAUUUGCGAAGAUUUCAUCUGGUUUUCUAACCUUGGUAAUGUGAUUCACCUUCAUUGAUGCUUGUUGAUGGGGACUGAGCUUUGAAUUCUGCUAAGUGUUUGAUAAUUUGACUCAAGAGAAGAUGCACGGAAGAUGCACUUUACAAGAGAACCCAGACUAGCAAUCACUUGUACGGAACCUCCUCAACUGUCAUCUUCCCCUCUUUUUGCGCCGUCGCUCGCCAUUUCUUCCUCUCUGUUGAUCGAGUUCAACUUCAAGAAUAAGAAGCAAAAUUAUGACCCUAUCAAUUUUGAAACACUUGAAGAGGAUGAUGAAGAUUGGGUGUUGGAGGAUUCACCACCAUUCUUAACUUUUGAAGAUUUGGAAGCACUACGCAAAGAUCUUUCUACUAUGACAAUCCAAUCUAUUUCAAAUGAGAUUUGAUCAAUUUAAUUUGGAUGAAGAUGUUGCAGCUGGAGAAACCAUGGAACAGCAGCAUACUGAUAGCAUAAUAAUCUACGAAUUAAACAUGGUAUAGCUCUAGCAUUAGUCCUACAAGAUCGAAGUGUAUCAGAGUAGGAGAUAAAACGGGGUUUUAAAUGCAUAAUUGUGUCGACAUAUUUCUUCGACCAUCAUAUAACUUUCACCCUCCAAACCAUAACCGUAAAGUUUCUCUUUCGUAGGAAAAACUAAUAGAUUACCAUUCAUAACCAUAAACCCUCUAACAUUAGGAUUUGUCUCAUUCAAUCCCAAUGCUCUUACUCUCACUUUUAAUACCUUUUUCCACAAACCUGACUCACAGUCUUUUGA